GAUGAACGCUGGCGGCGCGCCUAAUACAUGCAAGUCGAGCGAACAGACGAGGAGCUUGCUCCUCUGACGUUAGCGGCGGACGGGUGAGUAACACGUGGAUAACCUACCUAUAAGACUGGGAUAACUUCGGGAAACCGGAGCUAAUACCGGAUAAUAUAUUGCACCGCAUGGUUCAAUAGUGAAAGACGGUUUUGCUGUCACUUAUAGAUGGAUCCGCGCCGGAUUAGCUAGUUGGUAAGGUAAAGGCUUACCAAGGCAACGAUGCGUAGCCGACCUGAGAGGGUGAUCGGCCACACUGGAACUGAGACACGGUCCAGACUCCUACGGGAGGCAGCAGUAGGGAAUCUUCCGCAAUGGGCGGAAGCCUGACGGAGCAACGCCGCGUGAGUGAUGAAGGUCUUCGGAUCGUAAAACUCUGUUAUUAGGUAAGAACAAAUGUGUAAGUAACUAUGCACGUCUUGACGGUACCUAAUCAGAAAGCCACGGCUAACUACGUG
rnacentral:rRNA from 1 species